rnacentral:ncRNA from 2 species
UAGCCAUCCCGAGCGGCUGAGAGACCUGGCUCUUCGACGCCGCAGCAACCGACCGGCUCUGCCGGCCCCGGUGCUCCCGCCAGGACCGAUGGAAG